rnacentral:rRNA from 1 species
CCUACGGGAGGCAGCAGUGAGGAAUAUUGGUCAAUGGGCGGGAGCCUGAACCAGCCAAGUCGCGUGAGGGACGACGGUCCUAUGGAUUGUAAACCUCUUUUGUCGGGGAACAAAGGCGCCCACGGGUGGGCGGAUGAGUGUACCCGAAGAAAAAGCAUCGGCUAACUCCGUGCCAGCAGCCGCGGUAAUACGGAGGAUGCGAGCGUUAUCCGGAUUUAUUGGGUUUAAAGCGCUCGUAGGCGGUAUGUCAAGUCAAGGGUGAAAUCCCCGCGCUCAACGUGGGAACUGCCUUUGAAACUGGCAAACUGGAGUGUGUGAGAGGAUAGUGGAAUUCCAGGUGUAGGAGUGAAAUCCGUAGAUAUCUGGAGGAACAUCAGUGGCGAAGGCGACUAUCUGGCACAUAACUGACGCUGAGGAGCGAAAGCGUGGGUAGCAAACAGGAUUAGAUACCCGAGUAGUC